UACAGAGGGUGCGAACGUUGCUCGGAAUCACUGGGCGUAAAGCGCGUGUAGGCGGGCGAUCAAGUCAGGUGUGAAAGCCCCAGGCUCAACCUGGGAACUGCACUUGAAACUGGUUGUCUUGAGUACUGGAGAGGGAAGCGGAAUUCCUGGUGUAGAGGUGAAAUUCGUAGAUAUCAGGAGGAACACCGGUGGCGAAGGCGGCUUCCUGGACAGUUACUGACGCUGAGACGCGAAAGCGUGGGGAGCAAACAGG
rnacentral:rRNA from 1 species